AGUCGCGAACGGGUGAGUAACGCGUAGGUAACCUGCCUGAUAGCGGGGGAUAACUAUUGGAAACGAUAGCUAAUACCGCAUAAGAGUCGUUAACACAUGUUAAUGAUUUAAAAGGAGCAAUUGCUUCACUAUCAGAUGGACCUGCGUUGUAUUAGCUAGUUGGUGAGGUAACGGCUCACCAAGGCUUCGAUACAUAGCCGACCUGAGAGGGUGAUCGGCCACACUGGGACUGAGACACGGCCCAGACUCCUACGGGAGGCAGCAGUAGGGAAUCUUCGGCAAUGGACGAAAGUCUGACCGAGCAACGCCGCGUGAGUGAAGAAGGUUUUCGGAUCGUAAAGCUCUGUUAUAAGCGAAGAACGGGAGUAAGAGUGGAAAGUUUACUCUGUGACGGUAGCUUAUCAGAAAGGGACGGCUAACUACGUGCCAGCAGCCGCGGUAAUACGUAGGUCCCGAGCGUUGUCCGGAUUUAUUGGGCGUAAAGCGAGCGCAGGUGGUUUAAUAAGUCUGAAGUUAAAGGCAUUGGCUCAACCAAUGUACGCUUUGGAAACUGUUGAACUUGAGUGCAGAA
rnacentral:rRNA from 1 species